rnacentral:lncRNA from 1 species
CUACAUGCAAAACUUUGUAAAUAAUCUUCACUAUAACAAUAAUGGGAAUGCCAUGUUUUCUUCCCUAGUAUUGACUAGGGGUUAAUCCAAACAAGAACACCUCUUGGCAAUGACAUAAACCAUUAUCUAAUAAAGAUGGAAACUCACAAUGUUCUCUCUAGUCAAUACUAGGUAUAAUGAACAUUGGGCGCUGAAUUUGGUCUCUUGUACGAAAAAAUUUCUUCUCAAUUUGGACCAAUUUAUAGGGCUUAGACCUUUGAUCGCAGAUACCCAACAAAUCUGCCCCUCUGCGUCAUGUCUAUCAUCCCAGCAGUGGAAUGGAAAAUAUCAAGAUUCUCCUCCAUUGGCAUUACACUAAACAAUUCCUCUUUGCAUUCAUCUUUCACAAUCUUUGAAGAAAUCUUUGACUUUUUUCUCGUCAAUCACUAGGCCAUAUUCCUCAGAAGAAUAGCACUUGAAAGGUUGUCCAUCGCUUAAUUAUAGACCGUUUCAAAGAAAUAGUUGUUGAGACUGCUCGGAAUGGUAAAUAUUCGCAUCUAUUAUCCUCGUUUUUUUUCUUUUGUUUACCUUUCUCAUUUUUGUUGUCUUUCUCCAAUUAAUGAAAAAACUUCUUGGCAUGCCCCUUUGACCACAAUAAUAUCACUCAACAUUGACAUACUCGUUGGACUUGUCUCUGCCUCUAUCUUUGUUCUUGGAUCUCGACCCUUACUCCUCCCCCUAUUCUCAACAAUCUAAACAGCUGACUGUGAAGAGUUCAUGUGUCUUUCUUCUAGAGGCGGAGGCAGGACUGCACUAAAAAAAAUUUGAUAAAAAAAAUUUUGAUACUGGGCUGACACGUAAAAUAAUAAUAAUAAUAAUUCACACACGUAUCAGUCAACUGAUUAAUAAUACCUUGGAAUGCAUUGAGACGAUUCAUUAAAAGGAGUUCCGAUUUGAUAACCAUCAUUUGUUUUGUCAAAAAUUUCUCAUUAUUUUUGGUCUUCGAGCAUGCAAUUGCUCGAGCUAACUCCAUAAACUAUGUGGAUGUAUUUAUUUACUGGCAUGAUUAUGAAUAUUAUCAUUCACACAUUGCCUA